GACGAACGCUGGCGGCGUGCUUAACACAUGCAAGUCGAACGGAAAGGCCCUGCUCUUGUGGCGUGCUCGAGUGCCGAAGGGGUGAGUAACACGCGAGUAACAUGCCCUUGUCUUUCGGAUAACUUCUGGGAACUGGGGCUAAUACCGGAUAGGAGCUCCUGCUGCGUGUUGGGGGUUGGAAAAUUUCGGCGGUUGGGGAUGGACUCGCGGCAUAUCCGCUUGUUGGUGGGGUAGUGGAUUACCCAGGCUUUGACGGGUAGCCGGCCUGAGCGGGUGACCGGCCACACUGGGACUGAGAUACGGCCCAGACUGCUACGGGAGGCAGCAGUGGGGAAUAUUGCACAAUGGGCGGAAGGCUGAUGCAGCAACGCCGCGUGCGGGAUGACGGCCUUCGGGGUGUAAACCGCUUGCGCCUGUGACGAAGCGUGAGUGACGGUAAUGUGUAAAGAAGGACCGGCUAACUACGUG
rnacentral:rRNA from 1 species